AACGAACGCUGGCGGCAUGCCUAACACAUGCAAGUCGAACGAGACCCUCGGGUCUAGUGGCGCACGGGUGCGUAACGCGUGGGAACCUGCCCUUAGGUUCGGAAUAACUCAGAGAAAUUUGAGCUAAUACCGGAUAAUGUCUUGGGACCAAAGAUUUAUCGCCUUUGGAUGGGUCCGCGGAGGAUUAGCUUGUUGGUGGGGUAAUGGCCUACCAAGGCGACGAUCCUUAGCUGGUCUGAGAGGAUGAUCAGCCACACUGGGACUGAGACACGGCCCAGACUCCUACGGGAGGCAGCAGUGGGGAAUAUUGGACAAUGGGCGAAAGCCUGAUCCAGCAAUGCCGCGUGAGUGAUGAAGGCCUUAGGGUUGUAAAGCUCUUUUACCAGGGAUGAUAAUGACAGUACCUGGAGAAUAAGCUCCGGCUAACUCCGUGCCAGCCGCCGCGGUAACAC
rnacentral:rRNA from 1 species